UACGUAGGGGGCAAGCGUUGUCCGGAUUUAUUGGGCGUAAAGAGCGUGUAGGCGGCCAGGUAGGUCAGCUGUGAAAACUCGAGGCUCAACCUCGAGACGCCGGUUGAAACCAUCUGGCUAGAGUCCGGAAGAGGAGAGUGGAAUUCCUGGUGUAGCGGUGAAAUGCGCAGAUAUCAGGAAGAACACCCGUGGCGAAGGCGGCUCUCUGGUACGUGACUGACGCUGAGACGCGAAAGCGUGGGGAGCAAACAGG
rnacentral:rRNA from 1 species